rnacentral:sRNA from 1 species
CUGUUUCGAUUUGCUGAGGACAAAUGAAGUGAAUAUGGGCAUCGAUUCCACCUGCAGUGACAAUCAUGCCUUCUGCUGCUAUAGCUUCUGUACUUGCUCCAACGAUCAUAUUGUCAUCGACACCAUCCAUAAUAUCUGGAUUUCCACCUUUGCCAAUUCCGACGAUGCGUCCAUCUUUGACGCCGAUAUCUGCUUUGUAAAUUCCUGUGUAAUCAAUGAUUACGGCAUUUGUAAUAAUAAGAUCAAGCACGCCUUCAUCACGGGUUCUUAUCCCAUCUUGCCCCAUGCCAUCACGAAG